CUCCAAUAGCUCCUCACAGACAGACGCACAUCAUCACAAUGUCUCCAAGACGCUCUAGUAAACACGAACACAUUGUCAGCUCUGCAGUCCUCCACACUGCCUAUAGUAGAACAUUGUACUAGUUUAGUUUAUACAGAGUAUGAUCAUACUGGAAAAAUUAUUACCAGUUGACUUAACAUUGCACUACAGGAAAACAAACAAGCUCAUAAAAUGGUGUGGAGGAGCAGUGAUUGAAGAGCAAACCAUGAUUGUGCUGCUCUCUCUUCUCCUACCGCUGAUGGGCAGAUGCAAACCGUUAAAUAUCAAAUCUAGUGUAAUGUACAGGAAGGAACAAGUACAUAAUGUAUAUAUUAGUAGUAUGAAAGAUUUAACAUUGAAGAAGCUUUAUGGUGUGGAAUGGGAUCAACGGAGAUUGAUUGAUGUGUAGAAAACAGAAAGCAAUCUGUUCGUACAGUAAAUUACGUUCCAGCAGAUCCAUGUGGGUGGGCUGGUCAGGGAGCGGGUUCAGGUGAAAGGUUAAGACCAUCUCAUCCCUACAGUACAGACAUGCUGUAGACAGCAGUCCUACAUUCACUAUGGACAAUACAGUGGUCAAACAACUCACACACCUCAGGCGGGUUUUCAUUCUAAUCCAUCUUUUCGGAGGAGCAGAAUCAAUAGCUGGAAUAUAUAUGUGAGUGAGAAAUGACAGACUGAUCUUGAAAACUAAAAUAACCUUGGGUUGAUGCUGAGUGAUGGCGACUAAAAAAAAAUUGUCAGCUGGCCUCAAAUUAAGCAUAGUGGCAUUUAAAACAUUGGCACCUCUGAAUAGAUACAUAACAAAACGGCAGAAAUGCUCUUCUAGUCUGACUAGCAUACAGAUGAAUGUUAUAUGCUCAUCUAUCAAGGAGAGAAAAUACGGCGACUAUACAGUACGCUGCCCAUGACUGUCAUCAUCAACAAGUAAUGAAAACGCCAAUGACCAAUUUAGCCUUGAUUAAUCCCACUAUUAGAGUCCCCACCCUUACGUCUCGUCCAGUGAGCGUCGAUACAAUUGACAGGCAUGUGACUGGAUCCAGAAGGAUGCACGUUUUGAUGCGUUCUACCCACCCUCAAGUGCGAAGUGUGGUGGUUAGGCAACGAGAGUAGGCCCAGACCUGAUCACUGUAGGGGAGACAUCUACUUACUGUGGCCUCUCCCUACAAACAUAAGAUCAAUCAUGGUUUAGUAGCUACUAAAGUCUGAGGAAGUCUAAACAUGACAGCCUAAUUAAAUACGUCUGCUCUGGGUUGGGGCUAGGUAAUUACGUGCUCUGAUGAGUCGCUUGUGUUUUGCGGCAGCGUUUGAACUUUUCAUCACCAUCAUUAAGGACUAAUAGUCUAUCUUUUUAAUAGACUGACUGUUGAGCUAUUUUUAGCGCUCGCGACACUUUGUUGGGUUUUGAAUCACUGAUUAAUCGUAAUGACAUGUUAGUAGACUCAGAAUCAAAAAUCGAGUAGUUUGUGGCACUGUAUUCUUAUGAACUAUAGAGCACCGUGGAGGCCAAGAAGAAUAUUUAUUUAAAAGCAACACACCCUGGCCCUUACCAUCUUUCAAAACCCAGCCUAAAACACACGACUUAAGCCUAUGAACCCUCACGAACAACGAUACCCAUUCAAAACCCCAGUUAGUGUGCUUAUGUAAUGGGACGCGAGCAAGCUGUGGAAAAUGUCAGACGUGACUAAAUCCAGUGAAGUAGUAGGGCUGAGUCGCCCAAAGUAAGAGACACGCGGCGGAUUCCAUUAUGAAGGCUCCACUCGUCCAGACAGUGACUCCGUGCACAUGUGGUUGGAUUUCACACACAGCUCUCUCUCGGUCUCCCUCUCUCUCUCUCUUUGGAGCUGAGCUAUAAAGGGCUGUGGGGUUAUGUGCAGUCUAAAGCCACGUUAGAGGUGGAGAUAUAAUCACAUUCUAUGGUGAUUUCUCUUUUACUAUUAUGAAGAUGCAGCAAUAUCUAGGACACAUAGAAAAGCCACAUACAAUGCCGAAUGCCAUUGAAAAGCCUACUGUACCGCUGUACGCAUUAAUAAGCACCAGUGUGUGAUAUUAAGUAUAGUCCCUCUCCAGGACAUGAGCCAGAGAUGGGAGAAAACAUAUUCCGCAAUUGUUACAGAAAUCCCCAUUAAACCACGAAGCCUGGCAAAGCGUCUUGGUAGCCAAAAUAAGCCCAUGAUCAAAGGGAGAAGGAUACAUUCCAAUGCAUUGAUCCAGAUGGUUGGUAUUCGUCAUUAGGAGUCAAAGUGGCUCGCUCACCAUUUGAUGGCUGAGACAGUGACGGUAGUUUCUAGGGCCGAGGGAUUGAUUAGACAAAACUGUGGCAGAUCAAAGAUGUAUUUUAUGGAUUUCUCAAAUAUCACAGUAUGCAAAUGAACAAGGCACUAAGAAACUACAAAAACAGGAGAAAGCCUCAGAAAUGGCCUGACAUUGAGACGAUUGAGAAAAUUGCUUUUUAAUCGUAGUGUCCCAAUGGCUCAUUUGAAUAACCUUACCUUGAAUGGCAAACAAAUUAACAUUACUAGGUCAGACGAAGGAGCCAACAAUUUUUUUUCUAAAACAGAACUUUUGGUUGCAAUCUUGAACCCUUGAAAAAUGAAACGCAAUCCCUUGGGGGCAGUAUUUUGGGUUCAGAGUUGCUCAUUAAGUGUUGUACAUCUCUUCUGUAAUCAUAGCAGGGAACUUUCGGUUAUUCUUAUUCAAGAAACACACAACUCACAUUGACAGUAUUCGAUAGCUGAACUAUCGCAGUUGAGAGUAAAGCCCGUUUCGAAGGAAACGGUGCUUAUCGUGCCAAUAAUGAAAGUUGAGGAACGUCGCCUGUUCAUAAUAAGUAAGUCUUAUAAAUCCUAUAAUUGAACAAACUAAAAUACCUCAGGGAUUUUUGUAAGACAGAUAGCAAUGAUUUUAUCAAUUCAGAUUUCGAUUGUAUUCUGAUUAAGUAUAGAGACUUCCACAACCAUACAUUCAGAGGUCAGCAUAAUAGCCCAGUCAAAUCUAUUUUAUGUCACAAUGCUAAACUAAACAAACCAGUCAAUAGACAUUCACACAGAUAACCUUUCAAACAGCUUCACUCAAAAUCUCUGUUUGGCCAAUUGAAAUCUCUCAAAUAUCUGCUUCAACAGACUAGAUGUUUCCAUCAAACCCCAUACUAUCUCAGAGAAAUGCUAACUAUCCAAAGUGGCGGAGACUCUGUAUGUUUAUGUCGGAACAGGGUAACAGGGGCUCACGUCUGGAUUGGCCCCCUAGCUUAGGGCCCGGGCUGGGUAAACUAUUAACUAGGCAGCAGUAAAUCCACUUAGUAAUCACAGGGUUGUUUAAACAACCGCACAAAGUCCAAAUCACCAGUGGUAUUACUACAGCAGAGUGUCACAGAGCCAAAGGCCUCAGUCUCACAAGUUACCACCAUCAGUAUGUCCAGCUUGGUGUUGUUUCUAAGAGAGGUUCUCAGGGAGGUCCCCGGAUGGCUGCUGUGGGUUGGGGUCUUCCUGCCUGUCACUCUGCUGUUGAUACAGAUCAUGGUUUACCUGAAUUGGAAGCUGAAGGAAGUAGAGGCAGAGUUGUCUGCAGCACCUUACCCCAGGGACAUGGCCUCCAGGCAACGCAACAGAACCACAUCACCCAGGCAGAGAGGACGGGCUGGGGGGAGAAUGUACACCUAAGAAGGGGAACUGUGGAUGGCCCCACGCUGGAUAUUGCCCUGCUGGAUACAGUACAGCCCUCUGAGAACUCAUUUGCAAACAGAACAGUGUACAGUGGAUGGAGAUGCUGAAUACAAGUACUGAGGACUAUCCACCACCAGAUCAUGGAUAAAACACGAGCUAAGCCAUGGAGUGAAGCAACAACCAAUAUGGAAUUCCAAAUGACGGUUAACAAGCUGUUGGAAUGCAGAGACAAAGUGCAUUUUUUAUUGCUGCAAUUAUAGUGUUUAUUGUACCAUCAGUAUUAAAUUCUUUCUAAGAAUGA